GACCCUCCGGAUCGGUCUGGCACACUGCACCCCAGACCCGAACACAAGGCAGCGGGAACCAGGAAGCCGGUGCGAUUCCGGCACGGUCCCGCCACUGUGACCGGGCCCUCUCCCGUACGGACUCCGUACCGGAGAGGGCCCGGAAGCCAGGAACUGGCCCGCCGCCUUUCCGCAUC
rfam:Streptomyces albolongus strain YIM 101047, complete genome.